rnacentral:rRNA from 1 species
GACGAACGCUGGCGGCGUGCCUAAUACAUGCAAGUAGAACGCUGAAGCUUGGUGCUUGCACCGAGCGGAUGAGUUGCGAACGGGUGAGUAACGCGUAGGUAACCUGCCUGGUAGCGGGGGAUAACUAUUGGAAACGAUAGCUAAUACCGCAUAAAAUGGAUUAUCGCAUGAUAAUUCAUUGAAAGGUGCAAAUGCAUCACUACCAGAUGGACCUGCGUUGUAUUAGCUAGUUGGUGGGGUAACGGCUCACCAAGGCGACGAUACAUAGCCGACCUGAGAGGGUGAUCGGCCACACUGGGACUGAGACACGGCCCAGACUCCUACGGGAGGCAGCAGUAGGGAAUCUUCGGCAAUGGACGGAAGUCUGACCGAGCAACGCCGCGUGAGUGAAGAAGGUUUUCGGAUCGUAAAGCUCUGUUGUAAGAGAAGAACGAGUGUGAGAGUGGAAAGUUCACACUGUGACGGUAUCUUACCAGAAAGGGACGGCUAACUACGUGCCAGCAGCCGCGGUAAUACGUAGGUCCCGAGCGUUGUCCGGAUUUAUUGGGCGUAAAGCGAGCGCAGGCGGUUAGAUAAGUCUGAAGUUAAAGGCUGUGGCUUAACCAUAGUACGCUUUGGAAACUGUUUAACUUGAGUGCAAGAGGGGAGAGUGGAAUUCCAUGUGUAGCGGUGAAAUGCGUAGAUAUAUGGAGGAACACCGGUGGCGAAAGCGGCUCUCUGGCUUGUAACUGACGCUGAGGCUCGAAAGCGUGGGGAGCAAACAGG